GUUCAGUUGUUGGAAGCAUGCAGACCAAAGGUUUUUACUGUAUUUUGUUCCAGUUGUGGCUUCUCCAGAGCAGAGCAGUUGCCUCUUCUUUGGUAAAUGUGGCCCCAAGUGGAACAGCAACUCAGUCAUCCACAGCCAGUGGUGGUUAUCCUUAUAAGGCAAUCGAUGGGAAUAGAGACCCGG